AUUGAACGCUGGCGGCAGGCUUAACACAUGCAAGUCGAGCGGAGAUGAGGUGCUUGCACCCUAUCUUAGCGGCGGACGGGUGAGUAAUGCUUAGGAAUCUGCCUAUUAGUGGGGGACAACAUUCCGAAAGGAAUGCUAAUACCGCAUACGUCCUACGGGAGAAAGCAGGGGAUCUUCGGACCUUGCGCUAUUAGAUGAGCCUAAGUCGGAUUAGCUAGUUGGUGGGGUAAGGGCCUACCAAGGCGACGAGCUGUAGCGGGUCUGAGAGGAUGAUCCGCCACACUGGGACUGAGACACGGCCCUGACUCCUACGGGAGGCAGCAGUGGGGAAUAUUGGACAAUGGGCGGAAGCCUGAUCCAGCCAUGCCGCGUGUGUGAAGAAGGCCUUUUGGUUGUAAAGCACUUUAAGCGAGGAGGAGGCUACCUAGAUUAAUACUCUGGGAUAGUGGACGUUACUCGCAGAAUAAGCACCGGCUAACUCUGUGCCAGCAGCCGCCGUAAGAC
rnacentral:rRNA from 1 species